rnacentral:rRNA from 1 species
AAUAGAUACCCUGGUAGUCCACGCCGUAAACGAUGAGUGCUAAGUGUUAGAGGGUUUCCGCCCUUUAGUGCUGCAGCUAACGCAUUAAGCACUCCGCCUGGGGAGUACGGCCGCAAGGCUGAAACUCAAAGGAAUUGACGGGGGCCCGCACAAGCGGUGGAGCAUGUGGUUUAAUUCGAAGCAACGCGAAGAACCUUACCAGGUCUUGACAUCCUCUGCCAACCCUAGAGAUAGGGCGUUCCCCUUCGGGGGACAGAGUGACAGGUGGUGCAUGGUUGUCGUCAGCUCGUGUCGUGAGAUGUUGGGUUAAGUCCCGCAACGAGCGCAACCCUUGAUCUUAGUUGCCAGCAUUCAGUUGGGCACUCUAAGGUGACUGCCGGUGACAAACCGGAGGAAGGUGGGGAUGACGUCAAAUCAUCAUGCCCCUUAUGACCUGGGCUACACACGUGCUACAAUGGAUGGUACAAAGAGCUGCGAACCCGCGAGGGUAAGCGAAUCUCAUAAAGCCAUUCUCAGCUCGGAUUGGU